rnacentral:misc_RNA from 1 species
AUAUACAGGAGAUGAUAGGGAGCGCUAUUGCGGUGUAUGGUUUGAGCAAUGGAGUUUUGCCGCUCUAGGGGGAGUGGUGAUUACAGCGUUGGAUUGGCACGUUUUAGUGGAUUUUUUUUUUCCUUCUUGUUUUUAGAAUAUUCAACUGUUUUCUAAUUUUGCAUUGUUUUGUUGCAUUUGAAAACAGUUAUCGAAUGUAUUUCUUGUGGAAGUUGAAUUUUGUACUUUGGAGUUUUGCAUUUUG